rnacentral:rRNA from 1 species
AGGCCGGUACUCGCGAAUGAACUAGGNUUAAGUUUGAUCAUGGCUCAGAGCCAACGCUGUUGGUAGGCCUAACACAUGCAAGUCGAACGGCAGCACAGGAGAGCUUGCUCUCUGGGUGGCGAGUGGCGGACGGGUGAGGAAUACAUCGGAAUCUACUCUGUCGUGGGGGAUAACGUAGGGAAACUUACGCUAAUACCGCAUACGACCUACGGGUGAAAGCAGGGGAUCCUCGGACCUUGCGCGAUUGAAUGAGCCGAUGUCGGAUUAGCUAGUUGGCGGGGUAAAGGCCCACCAAGGCGACGAUCCGUAGCUGGUCUGAGAGGAUGAUCAGCCACACUGGAAACUGANAACACGGUCCAGACUCCUAACGGGAGGCAGCAAUGGGGAAUAUUGGACAAUGGGCGCAAUGCCUGAUACCAGCCUAUACCGCGUAGGGUUGAAAGAAGGGCCUUUCAGACGGUUUGGUAAAAGCACCCCUUUUUUGGUNUAGGAGAACAUGGAAANUCCCAAGAGCUUGGGCGU